CUUGCUUUCUUUUGCUGGCGACCGGCGCACGGGUGAGUAACACGUAUCCAACCUGCCCUUUACUCGGGGAUAGCCUUUCGAAAGAAAGAUUAAUACCCGAUAGCAUAAUGAUUCCGCAUGGUUUCAUUAUUAAAGGAUUCCGGUAAAGGAUGGGGAUGCGUUCCAUUAGGUUGUUGGUGAGGUAACGGCCCACCAAGCCUUCGACGGAUAGGGGUUCUGAGAGGAAGGUCCCCCACAUUGGAACUGAGACACGGUCCAA
rnacentral:rRNA from 1 species